UACGGGGGGGGCAAGCGUUGUUCGGAAUUACUGGGCGUAAAGGGCUCGUAGGCGGCCAACUAAGUCACACGUGAAAUCCCUCGGCUCAACCGGGGAACUGCGUGUGAGACUGGAUGGCUUGAGUUUGGGAGAGGAAUGCGGAAUUCCAGGUGUAGCGGUGAAAUGCGUAGAUAUCUGGAGGAACACCGAUGGCGAAGGCAGCCCCCUGGGUCAACACUGACGCUCAUGCACGAAAGCGUGGGGAGCAAACAGG
rnacentral:rRNA from 1 species